UAGACCGAUGCGCGAUUCCCGUCCUCCCUUCGUGGCUUGCUGCGUGGGGAUCAAGGUCGGCGCGCUCCGCUUUGGUGACUCUGGAUAACUCACUGGUCGAUCGCACGGGCUUCACGCCCGGCGACGGGUCCCUCGAGGGUCCGCCCUAU
rnacentral:rRNA from 1 species